CCCCUCCUUCCGAGUCCACAGUCCAAGUCCUUAGGGUCCAUUGUGACUAGACAAGUGAGUGUGUACAUAUAGGUAUGGCACUCAGUGACGGCGGUUCCUCACACAUAGCAAGUGUCACAAAUUCACAAUUGCAUUUUAGUGCACUGUGCUCAGCUCACAAAAUGUCAUCAUAUACAACUUGUAUGCUAUGAUUCAGACAGCACAAACAAGCACAUAGAUAACAAUCUCUC